CUGCAAGCCUCAGCCACAGCCAGGGCUUGGGGGCUGCCCGACAGGUAGAGCAAGUGAGCAAGCUCUUUGGCUAGGGGUUCCCCAGGGCUGGCCCUGCUGGGAGGGCAUGUGGCCCUCUGACAGGCCAUGGUGCCAUCUCUUCAGAGUUGAGUAAUGUGGAGUUCCACUGCGGGAGGGCCGAGGACCUGGUGCCCACCCUGGUGAGCAGACUGGCCUCCCAGCACCUCGUGGCCAUCCUGGACCCACCCCGUGCUGGCUUGCAUUCCAAGGUGAUCCUGGCCAUCCGGAGAGCUAAGAACCUCAGGCGGCUGCUGUACGUCUCAUGCAACCCCCGGGCAGCCAUGGGCAACUUUGUGGACCUCUGCAGAGCCCCAUCUAACCGGGUGAAGGGCAUUCCCUUCCGGCCGGUCAAGGCUGUGGCAGUGGACCUGUUCCCGCAGACCCCGCACUGUGAGAUGCUCAUCCUGUUUGAGAGGGUGGAGCACCCCAAUGGCACAGGGGUCUUGGGGCCCCACAGCCCUCCAGCUCAACCCACACCAGGACCCCCAGAUGACACCCUACAAGAAACUGGGACCUUCCCCUCAUCCUAGGCCCAGGACCCAUUAUGGGGACAGGAGCUGAAGGGCUCCCAGGGCCCCAGGGGCGGGGAAGGCA
rnacentral:sRNA from 1 species